rnacentral:lncRNA from 1 species
GCCUCAGUAAUCCCAAACGAGAUGAUUACCUGUGUCCUACCACAGUGUAAAAACAAUUUUAUGCUGGGAAGACUCAAAUGGACUCUUCGCUAUGACAGGAUCGCUUCCGAAGACAAACCAUCCGUUCCACAUUUUGAAGGAGAAACAGUAUUUAUAAAAGCAAUCUACUUACACUUUUUUUUGUUUUUGUUUUUUGUUUUUUGUUUUUUUUUCUCGAGACAGGGUUCCUCUGUGUGUUGUUCUGGCUGUCCUGGAACUCACUCUGGAAUUCGGGGAAUGCCCGCACACCCCAUGUACACGUCUACAUUUGCCUUUCCCCACCAACAAUCAGUGCCUCAACACAAUCCUGUCUUGGAACUUUACUUUUUCUAAGAACACAACUCUUACAAAACCAGACCCCCCUUUUAUGCUUCACUUAGUGAAGUCUCUUUUGUUGUUGUUUUUGAUUUCCAGACAGGGCAGAAUUCUCUGUGUAGCUCUUGCUUUCCCGGAACUCGCUCUGUAGACCAGGCUGGCCACGAACUGACAGAGAUCCACCUUCUUCUGCUUCCUGAGUGCUGGGAUUUGAAGGCGUGCGCCACCACCGCCAGGCUCACUUGGUUCUAAGUCUUACGAAAGUUGCCCAGACCCGGUCGGUAGCUGGCACAAUCAUAACACUUCUAUAACUUACUUUACCAUACCCUUAGGAUUGUCUUCGGUGGAGUGUUAACUCUGGGAAUGCAGAGACUUGCUUUUCCUAACUCCCUGUUACAUCCUUUUUACACAGUUCGUUUCCAAUACACGUUGUUUACAGAAUAACCAAAACGGCUUUUUUUUUUUUUUUUUUUUUUUUUUUUUUUUUUUUUUUUUUUUAAGAGUUGCGGUCCAAAGCUCAAUGCGCAGUCUAGAUCAGUGCUGUCAACCUUUGGGUCUCGAUCCCGCCCGGCGCGGGUCGGGUGGGUGUCAAAGGACCGUUUCGUACGGGUCGCCUAAAACCAUCGGGAAACAUAGCGAUGUUACGAUUCAGAAGGGUGCCAAAAUCAGUUAUGAAGU